AUCGUUUUGGCCAGUCUAAGGCGGUGGAGGUGUACCGUCUGAUCACUAGAAACUAUGAGAGGGAAAUGCUGGAUAAAGCUAGUCUGAAGCUCGGGCUGGACCGUGCCGUCCUGCAGAGCAUGAGUGGGAACAACAACGGGCCGGUCCAGCAGUUCUCCAAGAAGGAGAUCGAGGACCUGCUGAGGAAAGGAGCCUACGCCGCCAUCAUGGACGAGAACGACGAAGGCAAUCGCUUCUGCUAGGAGGACAUCGACCAGAUCCUGCAGCGAAGAGCCACCAUCAACACUAUCACCAGUGGCUGCACGAGAAAGACGUGGAGGACCAAGAAAUGCUGGCCAGAUUGGCAAAGACCGGAAGAUACAUAACAGAGAAGAUAAUGGAUAUUAACAAGAAAAAUAAAAAAAAUGUUUAUAAUUUCUUUGUUGCUGUUUACAUUUUGAAUUAUAUUUGUUAUUUUUAAAUCAAAUGCAUCUUUUUUAGAUGAUAUAUUUAUUUAGAUGUAGGUUUUUUUUGUAAUAUUAUUGUAUUAAGUAUAAUUUAUUAAAUAAAAAUACUGUUAUGAACACUAUACAAUGUCUUUAUUUUGAUAGUUACCAGAAUACAUUGUAUAUUUAAUACUAACAUAAGCUGGUGAUAGAUAAAUGCUGGUAUGCUGGUAUGCCAGCAGACAAAUAUUUAUAAAGACAGGGUAUGGCUGGGGUAGGCUACACCCAUACCAAGAAAUGGCUUAGCCCCACCAUGAAAAAUGAUGUUAAAGUAAGCAAAAUAAAGUCCGCCAACUGGCGC